rnacentral:rRNA from 1 species
AACGAACGCUGGCGGCAGGCCUAACACAUGCAAGUCGAGCGCCCCGCAAGGGGAGUGGCGCACGGGUGAGUAACGCGUGGGAACCUGCCCUCCGGUUCGGGAUAACCCUGGGAAACUAGGGCUAAUACCGGAUGAUCCCCGAGAGGGGGAAAGAUUCAUCGCCGGAGGAGGGUCCCGCGUCCGAUUAGCUAGUUGGUGUGGUAACGGCGCACCAAGGCGACGAUCGGUAGCCGGUCUGAGAGGACGAUCGGCCACACUGGGACUGAGACACGGCGCAGACUCCUACGGGAGGCAGCAGUGGGGAAUAUUGGACAAUGGGCGAAAGCCUGAUCCAGCCAUGCCGCGUGAGUGAUGAAGGCCUUAAGGUUGUAAAGCUCUUUCGCCAGGGAAGAUAAUGACGGUACCUGGAAAAGAAGCCUCGGCUAACUCCGUGCCAGCCGCCGCAGUAAUAC